rnacentral:tRNA from 1 species
AGUAAGAUGCCUGAUUAAAGGGUUAUUUUGAUGUAAUAAAAAAAGUAAAUUAUUUACUCUUACUA